rnacentral:rRNA from 1 species
AUACGUAGGUGGCAAGCGUUGUCCGGAAUUAUUGGGCGUAAAGCGCGCGCAGGUGGUUUCUUAAGUCUGAUGUGAAAGCCCACGGCUCAACCGUGGAGGGUCAUUGGAAACUGGGAGACUUGAGUGCAGAAGAGGAUAGUGGAAUUCCAAGUGUAGCGGUGAAAUGCGUAGAGAUUUGGGGGAACACCAGUGGCGAAGGCGCCUAUCUGGUCUGUUACUGACACUGAGGCGCGAAAGCGUGGGGUGCAAACAGGAUUAGAUACCCUGGUAGGCCGCGCCGUAAACGAUGAGUGCUAAGUGUUAGGGGGUUUCCGCCCCUUAGUGCUGCAGCUAACGCAUGAAGCACUCCGCCUGGGGAGUACGGUCGCAAGACUGAAACUUAAAUGAAUUGACGGGG